CAGCUCCUCCUGUUUGUUACCCAUGCUGCGUGCAUUGGUGUAGAUGCACUUCAGCUGGGCCAUUGCCUUAUCCCCCGGCCUUGCCAUUGUUCCCCCUGGCACAGCUCUAACAAGCCUUGAGCGAAUGAACGGCUGUGCGAACGGCUGUGUGGUGCUUAGCUGCCAGCUAGGGGAAACCAUGACAACAGCAAUGUAGUCAUGUAACCAAAUUGAAGCCAAAACUUUCAGCGCAGUCCUUGACCUGAACAGGGAGUGAGGAUCCGUAUCCUGGCAUUUAUACGUGAUAGUUUAUGUGCAGCCAAAGUAAAUAUUGCAGUCGGAGGUCAUGGCGCUAGAUUUUUAAAAGUCCGGCAUAAAGAAGAGAUCUCAGAAAAGCAAAUUUAAGCAACAUUAAUGUCAAGCAAAGUCUUUCUGAUUGCUAUAUUCUUUAUCUGUCGUGACUAGACAGAUGAAAAUCUAUGACGGCAAUUCUGCCUUUUAGGUCAUUUUCUUUUUUAUUUUAUUUAAGUUUAUUGAUCUUAUUUCAACAGGCUCUGUACUAAUUUUCCUCACAGAAUGACUAGCAGAAAUAUGAGCCUUACGUGCCUUUUGUAUUUAAUUCAUUAGGUCAACUCUAACCACUAAGCCAGGUUAUUUCUAUUAGCGAUAAGGAGCAAUUGAACCUUAAACAUUGAAACCUAGGUUGAUGAGCCUAUUCUACAAGGUCUCAUGACUCCACACAUGUGAAGUGAAAUCUGCCAGGUGGGGAUCAUUUGACCUUUGCUAUAAAGGAAGCAUGAGGAGUAUGGGAAGACUUGCCACUCUAGGGGAGUAUGAGGUUCAGGUUACUUAGGGUGCUUUUCUACUGUCCUCGUGAAAUGGAAUCAGUGUUCCUAAGUAGGCUGCUUUUUCAUCGUGUUUUCUACAAUCUCUGUGGAAUAGUUUGGGACACUCUAUGAGCUAGUAACAUCGGUGGUGACUACUCAGAAUGGGAAAACCCUGGUGGUGCUACUUCCCCAUGAAGUUGUUUGGUAGUAAGUAAAAUUCAGAAGCUGGCAGCUUGGAUUUCUUGAAUGCUUCUCACGUUCAGCCAUGGGGGAUAAGCAAAACACAGGUCUGCCAGUAGCUGACAGAGUAGAAAGGCGUGCUUCUCUCUCUUUUUUGUAUAGAGUUAGAGGCAAACCUGAUAUCCAGCCAAGAUGGACAAAGGAGAAGGACAAGGACAAAGCCUGGGAGGAAGACUAUGAGCCUUCAGCACGAGAGACCCCCAGAGGGACCACCGGGGACUGAUAUGCAUGUGCCAGUGGGAGGGUUCGGAAUCCAGGAACUAAUUAUAAUAACACUGCCUUUUCUAGAAGUAGUAAUGAACGUGUAUUAGCCUAGGAGCAGAAAAAGCUGCCGCCUGAUGUAACGUGUGUGCGUGUUGGAGGAGCCCAGACUCCCCGCGCACCCAGCGCUCUUUACUUGCCUUCUAUUAACCCCAUAAAUUCCAAGUCAACUUA